AUUGAACGCUGGCGGCAGGCCUAACACAUGCAAGUCGAACGGUAACAGGAAACAGCUUGCUGUUUCGCUGACGAGUGGCGGACGGGUGAGUAAUGUCUGGGAAACUGCCUGAUGGAGGGGGAUAACUACUGGAAACGGUAGCUAAUACCGCAUAACGUCGCAAGACCAAAGAGGGGGACCUUCGGGCCUCUUGCCAUCGGAUGUGCCCAGAUGGGAUUAGCUAGUAGGUGGGGUAACGGCUCACCUAGGCGACGAUCCCUAGCUGGUCUGAGAGGAUGACCAGCCACACUGGAACUGAGACACGGUCCAGACUCCUACGGGAGGCAGCAGUGGGGAAUAUUGCACAAUGGGCGCAAGCCUGAUGCAGCCAUGCCGCGUGUAUGAAGAAGGCCUUCGGGUUGUAAAGUACUUUCAGCGGGGAUGAGGGGAGUAAAGUUAAUACCUUUGCUCAUUGACGUUACCCGCAGAAGAAGCACCGGCUAACCCCGU
rnacentral:rRNA from 1 species